rnacentral:tRNA from 1 species
GUUCGCCGGUGCUUGCUGAUGCUCUAGAUCAAGGGACUCAUAAUCCCUUGGUUCCAGGUUCGAAUCCUGGUGGGACCA